ACAUUCUACGUGCUUACCACAAGUUUUUUUUUUUUUAAACUCGGGAGAGCUCUUGAACUAGCUCGUACAGUGGGACAGCCCCUUUAUCGUCUCUCAACUUUAAGGUAAAGCAAUUGAAUCUAACAUUCCAUCUUUUUCGACUGAGCUGUUUCACCUUGGUUCACCUGACUACCCUGUGCUCAUAAGUGCUGUAAUUGUAUUUUGUCCUGUAUAUUUUGUCAUUUUCAUUCUCUUAUGUUUUUAUCCUGUUUUUUUCAUUGCUUUUCAGUGCAUCCCAGCUUUUAAUAGACUUUCCUUUUGAAUUAUUUAUCUUUCUUUUGCAGAAUAAUGGUAUUGCCAGCACAAUCAGCAUUUAUUACACAUCCCUAAUUGCUUCUUGAAGCUGAAGGUACUUCCAAUGUUCCAGGGCAGGGAGUUCUGAGAUUUAGAUUUGGCAUUAAUGAAAGAACAGUGGUUAUAUUUCCAUUUCAGGAUGGUUUAUACCUUGGAAUCCUCAGCCGGUGUUGUCCGAUGUGCCUGUCCUUUUCCGAGAUGCUAAAGAUAAUAGAUUUGGAUGAUUUUGGGGUGUAAAUAUCGUGCGUUUUGUAGAUGGUACACACUUCAGCCACGGUGCCCUGGUGAUGGAUGGGUUAUAGGUCAAGCAGACUACUUGUCUGGUUGGCAUUGAUUAUCUUGCUGAUGUCAUGCUACUGUUGUUCAAAACAAAGGUUAGACUGUACAUGGAAUAUAGUGUGCAGUUCUGGUCACCACACGAUAGGAAGCACAUGAAUAAGCUUGAAAGAGUGCAGAAAACAUUCACAAGGAUGGUACUUGGUUUGGUGGGCCUGAGUAAUCGGGAGACAUUGGGUAGGCUAGGUCUGUUUUCUUUGGAGUGAAGGUGGCUGAGAUGUGACAUUAUAGAGGUAUAUAACGACUGUGUGGCAUAGUUCGGGUGGAUAGCCAGUGUCUGUUUCCCAUAGUGGGGGUGUCCAAAACUAGACGCAAUAGGCUUGAGAUGAGAGAGAGGAGGUUUCAAGGAGAUCUGAGAAGCAACAUUUCAUCCAAGUUGAUACUUGGAAUGAGCUGAUGCCAGAGAAGGUGGUGGAGGCAGGAACUGUAACAACAUUUAAGAGGCAUCUUGACAGAUACUUGAACAACCAGGGCAUGGUAGAAUAUGGGUCAGGCAAGAUGUGAUGGGCUGAAGAGCCUGCAUGUAUACUAUACUAAUGCUAUACUAAUCUGAUUCUAUGUUUUCACCAAAAUAAGGGAACUAUCAUUUAAAACUGGUGUGUAAAACUUUGCACAGAUGGUAGUGAAUCUUUAGAAUUAUCUGCCCUAUUAGGGUGGUGGAGGCAGACCAUUAGAUAAAUAUAUCUAAGGUGGCAUGGAUAUAUAUUCAAUAGAUCCAGGAACUGAGGGUUACAAGGAGCUGGCAUUGGAGGAGUGAUGCCAACAUCUAAGUAGCCAAGAUCAUGUUGAAUGGUGGGGCGGGCAUGAGGGGCCCAAUGGCCUAUUUUCUUGUAGUAUUUUUGUGUUGUGGUUAUGUUAUAAGCCAUGUAUCAGUCCAUUCCUGCAUCUGUCAAAAAAGGGAAUCUGCUGGUGGAGCUCAGCCUGUCAGGUAGCAUCUGCUGAGGGAAAUGGGUAGUCAAUGUUUUGGGUCGAGACCCUUCAUCUGGAUUGAAAGAGUAGAGGGGUGAUUCCAGCAUCUGCCGUCUCGUGCUUGUAAUUGUCAGGCUGCUUAAUGUUCUGGCGAGUUGAAAAAUAAUAUCCAUUGUACAAUCACAAGUGACCAUCCCCAAUUUCAAUCUAAUUGAAAAGCUGUUGGAGGUGGUUGGAGCUGGCACAUUUUCCUGAGAAAUUCCUGCACUGGGUUGUGUCUGAAAGAAAAAAUAAUGAUGUCUCCCAUGUUGUGUCUUUUUAUAUCAAUGCAAGUCUGUACUGUGGUUACUCCCUUUGUUAUUGAAAACAACGCAAUUUAACUCCUUCAUGAUUUUCAACAUCACCUUCGAUUGCAUUGUAGCUUUCUCCAGUCUCUCACAUAACUGAAGCUUUUCCCCCUGGUAUCAUCCUAGUAAAUCCCGGUCUAAACUUCCCCAGUGUUGUGUCAUCUUUUCAAAAGUGUAGCCUAAAUAAAUUGAGUACAGUACUUCAGUUGAUAUGUAACCUGUAAGAACUGUGUAUAAAGCUAGCUAUUACUGAGUAAGUGUUGAAUAUAACUAGUUCACUAAAGGUAGUUUUAUUGGUGUGUAUAGAUCACUCUAUGGACAAGUGAUAUUUUUGUCACAUCAAUGCCAGGGGCUAUCUCAAUUCAACAAUGGAGUUUUGAUCACAAUCCUGGACACAAUGCUGAGAACCCAUCAUUUGCUGCUUUGAGGGCACCAUUGCGCCCAUAAGAACAUGUAAAAUGUAUAUUCUGCAGGCUGUGGUUCACUUCCCAACUCUCUAUAAAGUGUUCCUUUAUCCACA